AUUGAACGCUGGCGGAAUGCUUUACACAUGCAAGUCGAACGGCAGCACGGACUUCGGUCUGGUGGCGAGUGGCGAACGGGUGAGUAAUGUAUCGGAACGUGCCCAGUCGUGGGGGAUAACGUAGUGAAAAUUACGCUAAUACGGCAUACGAUCUAUGGAUGAAAGCGGGGGAUCGCAAGACCUCGCGCGAUUGGAGCGGCCGAUAUCCGAUUAGGUAGUUGGUGGGGUAAGGGCCCACCAAGCCAACGAUCUGUAGCUGGUCUGGGAGGACGACCAGCCACACUGGAACUGAGACACGGUCCAGACUCCUACGGGAGGCAGCAGUGGGGAAUUUUGGACAAUGGGCGAAAGCCUGAUCCAGCCAUUCCGCGUGCAGGAUGAAGGCCCUCGGGUUGUAAACUGCUUUUGUACAGAACGAAAAGGUUUCUACUAAUACUAGGAGCUCAUGACGGUACUGUAAGAAUAAGCACCGGCUAACUACGUGCAGCAGCCGCAGUAA
rnacentral:rRNA from 1 species